CCUACGGGUGGCAGCAGUGAGGAAUAUUGGUCAAUGGACGAGAGUCUGAACCAGCCAAGUAGCGUGAAGGAUGACUGCCCUAUGGGUUGUAAACUUCUUUUAUAUGGGAAUAAAAUGUUCCACGUGUGGGAUUUUGUAUGUACCAUAUGAAUAAGGAUCGGCUAACUCCGUGCCAGCAGCCGCGGUAAUACGGAGGAUCCGAGCGUUAUCCGGAUUUAUUGGGUUUAAAGGGAGCGUAGGUGGAUUGUUAAGUCAGUUGUGAAAGUUUGCGGCUCAACCGUCAACGUGCAGUUGAAACUGGCAGUCUUGAGAACAGUAGAGGUAGGCGGAAUUCGUGGUGGAGCGGUGAAAUGCUUAGAUAUCACGAAGAACUCCGAUUGCGAAGGCAGUUCACUGGACUGCAACUGACACUGAGGCUCGAAAGUGUGGGUAUCAAACAGGAUUAGAUACCCGUGUAGUA
rnacentral:rRNA from 1 species